AUCACAAGGAAGGAAGUGUUACAAUAAAAAAAAUAAUAAUUUCAUUUCGUAUAACAAGAAUACUUCUCUUCCGCUAUCUAACCCCUCUUUUCUAUCAUGGAGUUUGGUACAACUCUUACUCUAAAGAAUGUUUAUUAGCAUAUUGAUGCAGCUUUGACUCUUUGUUAGGGGUAGGGUAAUGGGGCUUUUAUUGUAACUCAGUUGCAUCUUGUCAAUGCCCCAAAAAAUCACGUGAUAAUUGUAGGUCCACUUUUACUGAUAGAUGUUUUACCAUAGAGAGUUUUAAAACCUUUACGUCAGUUUUAUUUUUAUUAUCACGUGCAUACUUGUAGGUUUGAGCCGCCAUUUUACUAAACGAGACAGUAGGAAGAUGUCAAAGAAAGUCGAAGACCCCGAUGAAUCUCGACUCUCUAAACCUGGAAAAGAGGAGAUGAAAGGAAAGCAAGAAAAGAAGAUAGAAGAUCCUGUCUCAUCCACAAGUGGAAUGGAGCAAGAAAAAGAAGAGGACUUGAAAGGAAAGCAAGAAAGAA